UACGUAGGGUCCGAGCGUUGUCCGGAAUUACUGGGCGUAAAGAGCUCGUAGGUGGUUUGUCGCGUUGUUCGUGAAAGCUCACAGCUCAACUGUGGGCGUGCGGGCGAUACGGGCAGACUAGAGUACUGCAGGGGAGACUGGAAUUCCUGGUGUAGCGGUGGAAUGCGCAGAUAUCAGGAAGAACACCCGUGGCUACGGCGGCUCUCUAGUACGGUACUGACGCUGAGACGCGAAAGCGUGGGGAGCGAACAGG
rnacentral:rRNA from 1 species